UACGUAGGGUGCGAGCGUUAAUCGGAAUUACUGGGCGUAAAGCGUGCGCAGGCGGUUCGUUGUGUCCGAUGUGAAAGCCCCGAGCUCAACUUGGGAAUGGCAUUGGAAACUGGCGGGCUUGAGUGUGGCAGAGGGGGGUGGAAUUUACGGUGUAGCGGUGAAAUGCGUAGAUAUCGUAAGGAAGACCAGUGGCGAAGGCGGGUCUCUGGACAGUUCCUGACGCUGAGGCACGAAGGUCAGGGGAGCAAACGGG
rnacentral:rRNA from 1 species